rnacentral:rRNA from 1 species
CCCUUAGAUGUUCUGGGCAGCACGCGCGCUACAAUGGUCUUCGCAAACGGAUGCAUUCUCGAAGGAGAAUGCCAAUCUUGGAAUCUAUGCCUUGGGCGGGACAGUUGCUUGCAAUUUUUCGACUCGAACCAGGAAUUCCUUGUAAUCGUGAUUCAUCACAUCACGAUGAAUACGUCCCUGCCCUUUGUACACACCGCCCGUCGCUCCUACCGAUCGAAGAGUUAGGUGAAUUGUUUUGAUCGAUAAGAUUUGACUAUGGUCAACUCUCGUUGUGAAAUUCUGUGAAUCUGACUGUUUAGAGGAAGGAAAAGUCGUAACA